rnacentral:snoRNA from 1 species
CUGCAGACUCAGAUCACUUCUACUGUGUUUCAGUGUGAAGGGGAACCAGGUCUGCUACAGUAACAGGGUGCCAAGACAGUG